GUUAUUUCAAGAUUCCUUUGCUUUUGGGAGGGGAACAACAAUUGGAAACGACUGCUAAUACUCCGUAGGUUGAGGAGCAAAAGGAGAAAUCCGCCCGAGGAGGGGCUCGCAUCUGAUUAGUUAGUUGGUGAGACAAUAGCUUACUAAGACGAUGAUCAAUAACUGAUCCGAAAGGAUGAUCAGCCACACUGGGACUGGGACUGAGACACGGCCCAGACUCCUAUGGGGG
rnacentral:ncRNA from 1 species